GCCUGGGUGGCUCAGUUGGUUGAGCAUCUGACUCUUGAUUUCAGCUCAGGUCAUGGGAUUGAGCCCCAUGUCGGGCU
rnacentral:tRNA from 1 species